CUGGAGAGAUCUGGGGGCCCUUGCUAUCGACCGCACUUAUGUCGCCGCAGGGGGGCAGGCGCGUGUCAUGGAGGCGCCGUGGGCGGCGGCGGGGGCGCGCCCGCAGCCGAUGAAGACGGCUCUUCCCGGUUGCCCAUCUUUCCCGGCGGCGCGGCGUCGGCGUGCUCCGUCUAAGAUGAGAUCAGCGAGGGCGCGGGUUUGGGGAGACGGUGGGUGGCGGCCUCUUCUGUGGCUGCCCAUGACAGUUGUGGAGCCCUGGCCGGCGAGUGCAGUGGCGAGAGCGGCCCAGCGGAGUCGGCAAUAAAGCCUGAUCCGUAGUCGACAGGCUGGAUAAGGAGGGUACGUGUGGGUGCAAAUCCAAUCGAGCGACCCCCCUGUCCAGGGAGGAAGCCAGAGCUAGGGACAACUUUCUACUCACUGACGGAGGCUUACGAUUUUUACAAUUUAUAUUCAUGGGAGCAUGGCUUCGGCAUUAGAUACGGGAAAAGCAGGCUCAAUCCUGACAGAAGGAAGACCAUGCAGGAGAUUGUCUUCGGAUGCUCGGGGAAGCCUCUCCGUGAGAAUACAAGAUCCUGUAGGUGUGAGUGUCCAGCAAUGAUAAGGCUGUUGAGGACAUCAGAUAAUGGGUGGUACAUCAUGGAGCAUCGAGUGAAAGCAUAACCAUGUGAUGACACCGAAUUGUGGUGAAAUAUUGCACUGGCCGUCACACAAGCACAUUGAUGUCAACCUGAGCAAGGUGUACAACAUCAUCUGAGGGUUUUUUUUUGGCACAGUUGAGAAUGUGCGUUUCACGAAAAGAUCUCUUCGGAACUUGUGUGGGCAAAUUAGUCAUGGCGAGGGAGAAGGCGACGUCACAAAAACAAUUGAAGUUUUCGAUGAGCUCGGCGCGAAGGACCCUGAAUUUUUGUUCAGGGUGCAGCCGGACGGCAAUGACAGGAUAAGGAAUUUGAUGUGGGCAACAGGGGAUAGUAGGCUGAAAGUACAAAUUCUUUGAUGAUGUUGUCACCUUUGAUUCAACCUAUAGUACGAACGUGUACAACAUGCCAUUUGGGCUGUUCGUUGGAGUUAA